rnacentral:rRNA from 1 species
GACGAACGCUGGCGGCGUGCUUAACACAUGCAAGUCGAACGGAAAGGCCCCUUUGGGGGUACUCGAGUGGCGAACGGGUGAGUAACACGUGAGUAACCUGCCCUUGACUUCGGGAUAACUUCAGGAAACUGGGGCUAAUACCGGAUAGGAAUCCUUGCUGCAUGGUGGGGGUUGGAAAGCUUCGGCGGUUUGGGAUGGACUCGCGGCUUAUCAGCUUGUUGGUGGGGUAGUGGCUUACCAAGGCUUUGACGGGUAGCCGGCCUGAGAGGGCGACCGGCCACAUUGGGACUGAGAUACGGCCCAGACUCCUACGGGAGGCAGCAGUGGGGAAUAUUGCACAAUGGGCGGAAGCCUGAUGCAGCAACGCCGCGUGCGGGAUGACGGCCUUCGGGUUGUAAACCGCUUUCAGCAGGGGCGAAGCUUGUGGUGACGGUACCUGCAGAAGAAGCACCGGCUAACUACGUG